UGCGGAAGGAUCAUUAAUGAGUUAGGGUCACACGUGGCCCGACCUCCAACCCUCUGUCGUUAAAAAAAACCACUGUUGCUUUGGCGGGACAGCCGUGCCUCACGGCGCGGCCGCCGGUCUUCGGCCCGGUGAGCGCCCGCCAGGGUCAAAAAACUUAACUCUUGUUUUAACCGUGUCGUCUGAGUAAAAAGUUAAAUCAAUUAAAACUUUCAACAACGGAUCUCUUGGUUCUGGCAUCGAUGAAGAACGCAGCGAAAUGCGAUAAGUAAUGUGAAUUGCAGAAUUCAGUGAAUCAUCGAAUCUUUGAACGCACAUUGCGCCCCUUGGUAUUCCGAGGGGCAUGCCUGUUCGAGCGUCAUUACACCAAUCAAGCACCGCUUGGCAUUGGGCCGUCGUCCCCCCCUCCGCGGGGGGGCGUGCCCCAAACAUUUCGGCGGAGUCCCCAGGGCUUUGGGCGUAGUAGAAUCUUCAAAACGUCCUACGAGCCCCGGGGGUCUUUUGCCGGCGAACACCACACCUUUCUCAGUUUGACCUCGGAUCAGGUAGGGAUACCCGCUGAACUUAAGCAUA
rnacentral:rRNA from 1 species